CUUCCCUCCCCCUCUCCCGGCUUCCUAGUUUCGCAAACUCUCCUAUGCUGAUUAGAGAUAACUGAGAAAGCUACAAAGACCCGAAAUUCCUAUCGUUCUCCUCUUUCAGUCCUGUUCCUACCGAAAGGGAUAUAGGAGGGUAGCAGGAGGAGGAAGAAGCUAAGAAGAGAGGUGAAGAACGCCAUGAUCUAUAGAAAAUGGUCGCUGCUUUCAUCGACGGUGGUGAUCUGGGGAGGAGUUGCCUCAUUAGGUCUUGCUCAGUUCUUUCUCUUCGGCGGAAAGGAGAAGCUCCAUGACUAUUUGCGCAGCGAGGGCGAGAGGCUGCGGCAGCUGGAUAGAGCCAACAUAUCAGCUGAGAAGCAUGCCUAGAUGAUUUCAGAGGAAAAAGGCAGUAGAGGAGCAUUCCACUUAUGUAUUUUUUACAUCCAAGCCCACUGUUUUAAUAAAUUGUCACAAAGUUUAAGUUUUUAUUCUGUGAAAACUUUUGAGGCUGUUCUGCACAUCUGUUCUGUUCUUUCUUUUAUGCUUUUUUGCUGUCAUAAAUGGAGAUUAUUGGGCUCCUUCACACAAAUAGACUUGUUGCAUCUUUCAUCUUUUGAUGUAAACUAUAAUCAAUAGCUUUGCC